UACAGAGGUCCCAAGCGUUGUUCGGAUUCACUGGGCGUAAAGGGUGCGUAGGCGGUCGGGUAAGUCUGAUGUGAAAUCUCACAGCUUAACUGUGAAACUGCAUUGGAUACUAUUCGGCUUGAGAGUUGGAGGGGGGACUGGAAUUCUUGGUGUAGCAGUGAAAUGCGUAGAUAUGCGGAGGAACACCGAUGGCGAAGGCAAUCCCCUGGGCCUGCACUGACGCUCAUGCACGAAAGCGUGGGGAGCAAACAGG
rnacentral:rRNA from 2 species